UUUCAAAUUCAGAAGAUGAAAAUGGAGAUGAAGACGAAGAUGAAUUGGACCAUUGGUUUUAUGUAAGCAUUGCACUUGGCUUUGUGGCGGGAAUUUGGUGUUUUAUAGGCCCUUUGAUUUUCAAUAGAAGAUGGAGGUACAAAUAUUGUCAUUUCCUAAAUCGUCUUGAGGAGAGAGUUGUUGAUGUUGUAAGAAAACGUGGCUAGAUUUUCUCUGUUUUUGAGUUGUUCUGCUUUUUCAUGUACUGUGCUCACUGAAAGGAAUAGAAUAUUACUUAAAAUAAACGAAUGGCCUUUUAUUUGUUUUGUUCCUGAAAGCAAAAAUUAAUGCGAAAUAAUUUUUAAAUAAGGCGAAUGAUAUUCAUAUUAAAAAUCAUACGAGACUUUCCAACUCAACAAAAUUAGUACUGAUAAAUCAAAAUUGAAAAAGUAUAUUUUAUGGACACUUCACCAUCUAUAGGAUCAACAAUUUUUAUAUUAAAAAAGAUUAUAAAUCACAACAUUGGUAUCAAAAUGUUAAGAUCUUGAAAAAGUAAAUGGAAAAGAUUCUUAGAUUAACAAGCAACACUGCAACAGGGGAGGGGGCUCAACUAUUCUCUAUUAUGCAAUUUUGACCAGUAGUACUUCUCUCUUCUUUUACAUUUUAGGGUUAUUAUCAUUUUACUACUUCAGGAAUUGCCAAAUAUCAAAUGACUACAACAAUCGUUGUCUCCUAUUAUUUUACUACUAUAUCUUUAUAAAAAUAUCAUUUUACUACUUUUCCGUUAUAACUGUUAGUUGACCAGUUAGUUGACUAUCAAAAUACCAAUUUCACCCUUCAUGAUUAAAAAAAAAUAUUUGAAGCUUAUUUACAAAAUAAAUUUGUAAUAUAUUUAUUAAAAUAGAUAUAAAAUACCAACAUAUUUUUUUUGCUAGAAUUAUUAUAUAUGAAUUACAAAAUUUAUCUUAUUAUUAUUUUUAAUCAUGAAGGGUAAAAUUAGUAUUUUGUUAGUCAACUACCGGUCAACUAACAGUUAUAACGGAAAAGUAGUAAAAUGAUAUUUUUAUAAAGAUAUAGUAGUAAAAUGAUAGGAGACAAUAACUGUUGUAGUCAUUUGAUAUUUGGCAAUUUCUGAAGUAGUAAAAUGAUAAUAACCCUACAUUUUAUAUAUGGAAUAUUUUCAAUGCAACAUUGAGAUUCACAACUAUCCAUGUAAAUACUAAUUACAGCAAAACUCUCCUCCUUUAAAUUUGAAAAAAGAAAACUUAGGUGGCGUUUGUUUUUUUGUCUAAAAUCUGAAUAGACCUGAAUUAGUCUGAAUUCUGAAUAGAUCUGAAUGUCUGAAUCUAAAUAACAUGUUUUUUUUUUUCGUCUGAAUCUCGAAAAAUAAGUAUUAAGUUGUUUGUUUUUUUCAACUGAAAAAGCUGAAAAUAUGUACUUUUACUUUUGUAUCCUUAUUAAAUUUGAAAGUCAAAUAAAUAAUAUAUUAAAUACCACAAUAUUUUAACAUUUAUAAGUAAAACUAUAUUCAAGUGAAUACAUAAUUAUUUUGGAAUUUAUAUAUAUAAAAUACCAUAAAUUUUAAAUUUUAUCGUAUAUAAUAUAAGAAAGAAAAAAUAAUGAUAUUUUUAUAUGGGAAAAAUGUCUAUGGGUGAGUUUUGGGAUAGACAUGAAAAAUAAAUUAUAAAACAUGGAUAUUUUUGACAUUAGUAAGUAAUUGACUUAAUUCAAAUUUCUCCAUUAAGUAAAAAGCUAAAAAAAUUGGCUUAUUUUAUUAAGUCAAAAUUAUCUAAAAAGUCUCAUUAAGUUAUAAAAACAAACACCUCUAAUUAACUUAAUUAAUUAAGUUAAGUCACUUUAAGUCAUUAAGUUAAAAAACAAACGCCACCUUAGUCUUGGUUUAUUUCAUUAAAUAGAGUUAGUUAACGAUGUGUCACGAGAUAUAUAGAUAUUAGUCCAUAUAAUAUAAUAAUCGAUUGAGUUAAAGUCGUCAAAUCUGAAUAUUGUUAUCUUCUGACUUAAAAAGUCGUUUGCGUGGAAAGGACGUAAAUCCUAAUCCAAUUAACAGUAGGAUGAUGUUGAGUUGGAGUAUGCGAACGAACUAUAAGGUCACAAUUUAAGAUAAUUAUUUUGAAAGAGAGAAAUGGCCCUAUAAAUAGCAAUGUUGUUGAUAACACAAAUUCAAAUAAACAUUUACUCUUUAUUAAACCAAACAUGAGUGGUGUCCUUGUUUUUGCCUCACUUCUUGAAUUACUUGUCGUUAGCAUGAGUGGACAAAUUGAUGCGUGAUUUUAACGUAAAUAUAUACAAGGAUCACCGAUGAUUGACUUAAGUGAUUGUAAAUGGCAUCUGUGUGACUGUGUCCUUUACAUGUCCUCUUCAAUUGACUUAAAGUCGCUUCGCUAAGUAGGAGGUUACUUUGUGUCAUGUGCAAAUUGGAUUAUGCAGAAAACUGAGUUUCUAGUUACUUUUUCCAAUAAAAAGCCCCAAACGGAUGCUGAAUUGCUGAAAGAUAAGUUGAGAUUGUUCAUUAGAUCAAGGACAUUUUCCUUGUUAACAAAAUUAAUAAACGAACAUAUAAAAAUGAAGUAAUUAUCCAUAAGUACUGCUACAACAAAUAACUCUAAUGCAUAGACUAUAGAUUCCAUUUUGUCGGUGGCGGACUAAGGUUAAAAAUAAAGAAAUUCAUAAGGGUAUUAAUUGAAAUUUAAUCUAUUUCUUAAAAUAUUACAUCAUCAUUAUCCAUUAUUUACAAAAUUUUGAUUAUUGCCUCCAUAAGUUCGUAGUUCUUUUUUGGGCAUGUUUCAACCAAAAUACCGGUUUUGAAUUUAGAAUGCGAAACUCUCCGCAAAAUUUUUACUUUGAGACGUCAUAACACAGUUUUCUCAAAGUAAUUGACAUUUAAUUACGAACAAAAUAUCACCAUCGAUAUCGAUCCCAAUUAAAUUCUUCAAGUUCCUUCCAGUCUUGGUUAUUUUUAUUAAAUGGAGUUAGUAAGAUAGUCAUGAGAUAUUUCAUUAUCUACAACGAUCAUCGACUUGUGACAUUACCAAAUUAAAUAGUAUCUAUAUAUCGUCCUAUAUAAUGAAUAGACUUGAAGUCGUUUCCUCAUAAAGGGGGUUAGAACUGGAUUAUGCGGAAGAUUUAAUUAUAUGGCCUAUCGCUACUUUUUCCAAAUUAGAUUCCUGGCCCACUUUACUGAUUAUAUCAAAUGGAUGCUGAGUUUCUGAAACAUAAUCCAAGAGAGUAUCGGUCUUGUUAAUUGCAAUUCAUUAUAAAUAGCAAAGGUGUUGAUAACAUUAUCCUCAUCCACAUUUCCUUGACUAGCUAGCAAUGAAACCAAACAUGAGUGGUGUCCUUGCUUUUGCCUUAUUUCUGUUUGAAAUACUUGCCAUAGCAACCAUUAGCAUUAGCUUCUGCAGCGGAAGUUCUUAUCAUGGGGGUUGCCUUGAAAGUAAGAGAGGAGCACUUUUAAGGUUCAAGCGAGAUCUUAAAGACCCUUCCAAGACGAAAACAUUUUGGGCCAACUUAAUCCUCCAAUUGAUUAGAGAGACAACCAAUCUCAACAUGAUUAAAAUCAACCAAGAACUUUAAAAGAUUACAUGAAUCCAACAAGAACUGGAGCACCAUCGUGUAUAGUAUUUCCUCUAAAAGCAUCUCAAUUCAACUUCAAACCAGGUAUUAUCUAACUUUUACCGACAUUUUAUGAUUUAAAAUCUGAGAAUCCGUACGUGCAUCUAAGAGAUUUUGAGGAAGUUUGUAAUACAUACAUGGACCAAAAUUGUAGCAUGAACAUAAUUAGAUUAUAAUUUUUUCCUUUUUCAUUAAAAGAUAAAGCUAAAACUUGACUAUAAAACCUUAGAUCAUGUUAAAUUAGAAAAAAUAUCAUUACAUGGUUACUUCUGGAAUUGUUUUGGGUCAUGUUGUAUCUAUUAAAGAAUUGAAGUUGACAAAGCAAAAGUUAAAGUCAUAUCUAAAUUGCCAUAACAAAAAAUAGUUAUAGAUGUGCGAUCUUUUUCAGAACAUACAUGAUUUUUUAGAAGGUUUAUAGAAAACUUUAGUGUCAAAUUGAUAACUCUAGGAAAUGAGAGUUAUUACAUCAAUUCUAGACUUGAAUCAAGACUACUUGAGAACAAAUAAGGUGUUUUUAUUAUAUUUUGGUUACCUUUUGCAUAAACUUUCAUUUUAGUUGAGUCUUAAUAAGUUUUGCUUGAAUCAAAGUAAUUUGUACUAAAAACAGGUGUAUAAUUGUAGGUUUUAAAGUCAUGAGGGGAUGUUGAGGCAUUAGAAGAGCGAGAGGAGGAAAGAAGAUGGCCACAAAAGAAGUAAAGCACAAUCGGAAAUAAGGCAGUGUUGUAGCUGAUGUUAGAGCAACCAGUGCUGUAGCAAUCUGGGAGCAAUGCGAGAGAAAACUUAGGCACGAGUUAGCCAUAAAAACGCGAUCUGCAUGUUUCCUAAUUUAAACGCAUGCACGCUCAUGGGCUUUGGUUUACCCUAAUUUGCAAUAUAAAAAAGGAGGCGUGCACCAUAUAAAAGGCGGCGAAGGGAUAAUCAUCAGAAUAAUUACAAAGGAAAGAAGAAGAAGAUCAGAUUGAGAGAGUGUUGUUUCAGUAACAUUGAAGACUCGUGCAGAAUUAUUUGUCUUUCAUCGUGCUCAACUUAUAUUUCUCGUCUUCAUUUAAUUGUUUUGAUGUAUUCAUUGAUCAAUAUAUUUAUGUUUACUUUUCUCAUUCAGAGUAUGAACUAAAUUUACUUGUAGUUGAGUGACAAAGAAUCCAAUGGGUUCUUGACUGUUCUUAUAUGUUGUUAUGGCAUUGUUGUAGCAUUAUACUCUAGUAGUUUUUAUGAAUAUAACUGUUAUUUCGGUUGACCACCCAUUUAAUAGUUUCAGUUAAGAUAGAGCAGCAAAAGAGCAUGUCUUAGCGGAUGUUAUUAGAGUAUUACUUGAUCUUAAGUCGAGUUUCCUGGAUUAAGUUAUCUUAAAUCCCAUAAGGGCAAUACUUGAAGUUAAGAUUUGUGACACACUAGACAUAGAUGUUCACCUUGUAGGGUGGAAAGACUAAAGACCAUAAUGACAUACUAUAAGUAGAUUAGCAACUGGUCAUUGUUAAUAGAUUUAAGGGUAUGAGACUUCCAAUAUGCGGCAGCUGAGGAUGCAGAUAAACUCUGUCCAGUGCUGCAGCACUGGUCGUAACAACUGGUACUAAUUUGAUGAAAAAACAGUCAACCCCAAAGGAAAAUUUGAUCAUUCAACUACAUUAAUUUCAAUUGAAUCUUGGACACACUUAACCUAGUUAUUUCAUUACGAUAUUGUUUUAUUUAAUUCUUAUCUCAAUCAUUGAUUACAAUAGACAUUACUUGACAAUUGUUUGCUUCGGGUUUAAGUUGAGUUGCGCUAUUGUGAGUGCUGUAGCAUUUCGAGUAACAUUAAUCCAUGUGGAGACGAUCAUGAAUACUUAUCACUUUAUUACUUGUUGUGCAUACUUGCACAUUGGCAUUGAUAGUAAUUGCUUAUAAAAUUUACCAACACAUAUCUAAACCACUUUGUAACCUCUUAUUAAAAGAUGCACCAUUUGAAUGAACUGAUGAUUGCCAAAAAUCUUUUGAGAAAAUAAUUUGUCUUUUAACAUCAGCACCCAUUAUGCAAUCUUCUGAUUGGUCUCUUCCUUUUGAAUUCAUGUGUGAUGCAAGUGAUUUUGUUGUUGGUGUUGUUUUUGGACAAAGAAUGGAUGGUAAGUCGUUUGUGAUUUAUUAUGUGAGUAAGACCUUGGAUGGUACCCGAAUGAAUUAUUUGACAACUAAAAAAGAAUUACUUGCAGUGGUGUUUGUAUUAAACAAAUUUCGUUCAUAUUUGCUUGGUUCUAAAACUAUUGUUUUUACUGACCAUGCUGCUGUGAGAUAUUUGAUGACUAAACAGGAUGUCACAACCAAGACUAAUUCGAUCGAUUUUGUUACUUCAAGAAUUUGACCUUACCAUCAUUGAUAAAAAAGGUGCCGAAAAUGUCGUUGCUAAUCAUUUAUCAAAACUCACAUUCGAAUUCUGCACUGACGUAACACCCAUCAAUGACUCCUUCCUAGAAGAAUUUUUAUUUUCUGUUACUUUAAUGCUAUGAUAUGCUAACAUUAUUAAUUUCUUUGUUACAGGUAAAAUGCCUUUGCAAUAGAAUACUCAAGAGAAGAAGAAAUUUUUAGUUGAAGUAAAGAAAUUUUAUUAGGAUGAUAUUUCACACAGGUGGUAUUUCACACAUGUAGUAUUUUAUGUAUUUUAUUUAGUCUUUAAUAUGGCAUACCUAGCAGAUGUUAUAUAAUUGUGUUUGAGAAUUUUAUUUUAAAAUGAUUUUAUCUUUUUAUUGAAAAUUUUUUAUUUUAUUUUUAGUGAAUUAUACAGUAAAUUAUUGACAAUUUAACAAAAAAUAUUUCAAAUAAUUGUUCAAAAAAUAAUAAAAUAAAUUAUUAUUUAAAUAAUAAAAAUGAAAUCGAUUAUUGCGUCAAAUGAUAUGGGUUCUCACGGCUAAACUAAUCAAAGUUAAAAAACGUGUCACUCCCAAACGAAUACCUUCGCAUGGAGGUCGCCCGGUGGGGCAACGCGCAAAUUGGAUUAGUGACUGAGAUUCUCGUUGCUCCUUUCCAAAUUAAAAUUUUCAAACGGAUGCUAAAUUGUUGAAUAAGACACCAAAUUCUAUUUCCACCUGUCGUUGUAAUGAUAUUAUAUCUUUGCUGCAUGUGUCACACUCUCACAUCCGUACAAGAAAUAUAAUAAAUAAAUAAUAUGAGAUAACGGAUGGUAAUAAUAUAGCAUGCCACCUCAGGUAUGUACCUCAGAAAUAUAAUUUAAAAAUAAAAAUAUAUAAAAACCCCUUUAAUUUAGGUUAAUUUAAAAUGUAUAAGGAAUAUUUCAAAUUUGAUAAAAGGUUUAAAAUGUAUAAGAAAUAUUAACGUUUAUGUGCAUAUAAAAUUUUUAAAAUUAACAUGAAGUUUCCCUUAGUAAUUAAUUUUAAACACUUAAAAAUUAACAUGAAAUUUUACUUAAGUAGUAAUUAAAAUUUUAAACACUUUAUUUGAGAAUAAAAUCAUAAAUUAAAAUUAAUGAAUUGCACUUGAUAGUCUCAACUUACCCGAGCGGUUCGGCAUUCAUUUGAAAUUGUUAAUAUACUAUGGACUUCCUUGUUAUCUCCUAGUUAUGGAAGUGACUAAUGUAGCAUUUAUUUUUUUGUUUGAAAUUUAAAUAAACUUGAAUUAGUCACUAUUUUAAAUAGUGUUGAAUCUAAAUCAUAUUUUUUUUGUUUGAAUUACCAAAAAUAAGUAAUAAUUUAUUCUUUCUUUUAACUUAAAAAUAUGAAAAUCAGUAUUUCUACAUUUGUGCUCAUAGAAAUUAAAAAUAUUAAAUAAAUAAUAAAUAUUUCAAAGAAAAUAAAUAAAAUAAUAUGUUAUCAUAACAUAUGGUUAUUGCGAUCUUAAUAAAAGAUUUACUUUUUCUAUCCGUCGGUGUAGGCCAAUGACCGAACCAUAUUAAUUCUCCGUGUUUUUCUUAUUAUAUAACCUUAGCUAAACUAGUUCUCUAGUUGACCGCAUUUCUACAUCUAACAAUUCUUGUGAUGUAUAGGCAGCUGAAACAAUUUUUUGCGUUUUAAAACCUUUCUGACUGUAUAUCAUCAUUUUUUUUUUACGCACACCAGGAUUUGUGACGGCUAUACGGCCAAUCUCCGAUGCAAUAAAUAAAUAAAUAAUAAACGAUGUCUAUUUCCACCGCAUAUGACUAUUACGCCAACGUUAUGGAAGUUCCUCACAAAUUUACGAAAAUGACCCUUUAUCUAAUAUUUUGAUAUUUUGUAAUUCUAUCCUCAUCAACAUUUUUAUAUUAAUUAAAAUUUUUAACGAACAUCAGUUGUAAGGUCCACAUCACAAUGACACAUCAUUAGAUACGUGACUACACGCACUAUGACACAUCAAGAUCACAAUGUUUUUAAUUAAGUUCAGUCUUAUUACAAAUGCACAACUGUCUGUCUACUAGUCCUUUUAUGUUUGGGAGCUAGAGUAAGUGUAGGAUUAGAUUAAUUUUCUAGACAAAAUAUUUAUUCCAUGUUUGACGGGCUCGCUUAAAUUUGAUUAAGAGGAUUAAAUUCAAAUUUACUUUUACAAUCAUAGGAUUAGUUAUCAUAAUUUUCACAUGGGUUUAAGGAGAAUUAGAGAAAGCAAUGUUUGUCCCUUUAUGACAAUCUGUUUGUUUAUUAAUGAGUUGUUAUCUAUUUAAUUAAUUAUUUAUUUUUAUUCAUGAUUUCUUAAAAAUUAAGUAUUUAUUUUUUAUUCUACCCAUGUCAUCUUUUAUCAUUUAUUUAUUUAAUGUUAAAAGUAAUGCAUUAACAAAAUUACUUUUUAGAAACAUGCCAUUUAUCAUUUGAUUAUUAUACAAAUAUUUUUAAAAUAUUUGAUAAAUAAUUAAUUUUAUAUUUAACUAUUUUAGUUAUAUUUUUUUAAUAGGCAAUAAUAUGCAUCAUAUAUAAAAGCAUAUAAUUUUCAUAAUUUUAGUUGUUCUUGUUAAAAACCAUUUAAUUUCACUUAAAUUUAAUUUAACAUAGUGUAAUUAAAUAUUAUACUAAAUAUAAGAUUGUACUACAUAUAAAAAAUACAAUGUAAUCCAAUUCAAUUUAAUCUAAUUGAAUUUUAAGUCUAUUUAAUCAUGCUUACUAAACGUAGCCUAACCUAUAACUAAAUCAUACAGUAUAUGAUUGAUUGAUAAUGAAAGAGUAAUCGCUGGCAGACUUAUGUUGUGGCUUGAGUCCAUUUCUUUGGAAAUAUUACAUCCAAUUUGGCCCUGCCAAUCGACCAGAUAGUUCAAAUUGACAAAAUGUCAAAAUCAAUACCAAUAAUUAAUUUGAGAUCUGGAAAGAAUGUUGAUAUCCCAGUUGAUGUGACCAACAAUUGGAUGGAAUGCAAUUCAGCACAAAAACCACUUCAAAAUGGAAGCAUGUUACAACAAACUACCCAUCAAGACACUGAUUACAUGGGCCAAGCUACAGCAACUGCAGAAGAAAUUCAACCAGAACAUGCUGAAAAAGAAGUUGCAACACCAAUAACCACUUCCUAUACCAAACUAAACAAACAAAGUUUGGUAUCCCCUGAAUCUAACCAGCAGUUUAGACAUCCACCACAUUUCCCACAAAGGUUCCAGAAGCAAAAACAAGACAAGCAGUUCAACAAAUUCCUGGAAGUGCUGAAACAAUUACACAUCAAUAUACCUUUCGUGGAAGCUUUGGAGCAAAUGCCAAAUUAUGUGAAAUUUCUAAAAGACAUCUUGGCAAGAAAGAGAAGACUGGGAGAAUUUGAAACUGUUGCUUUAACACAAGAAAGCAGUCAUAUGCUCCAAAGUAAGAUUCCUGCAAAAGUGAAAGAUCCAGGGAGUUUUACAAUACCCUACUCUAUAGGAACUAGGUAUGCUGGCAGAGCACUUUGUGACCUGGGAGCUAGCAUUAAUUUGAUGCCAUUGUCUGUAUUUAAGCAGUUGGGAGUUGGGGAAUGCAGACCAACAACAGUCACUUUGCAAUUAGCUGAUAGAUCUCAUGCAUACCCUGAAGGAAAAAUAGAUGAUGUACUGGUGAAGGUUGACAAAUUCAUCUUCCCAGUGGAUUUCAUUGUACUGGAUUUUGAAGCUGAUAAAGAGGUACCCAUUAUACUGGGAACCUUUUCUAGCAACUGAAAAGACUCUGAUAGAUGUGCAGAAAGGAGAGCUCACCAUGAGAGUAAAUGAUCAGCACGUCACAUUUAAUGUACUAGAAGCUAUGAGGAACCCUGAUGAAGUAGAAGAUUGCAAUUUCCUGAGUGUAGUGGAUUUUGUUAUAGCAAACAGAAUGAACAGAUGCUGCAGUAAUUCAUUUGACAAAGUCACUACCUUUGAUGAUGUAGAAGAGGAAGAUGUUGCAGCAAUUCAGACAGAUUGGAUGGAAGAAAAGCAAUCUGAUAGGCACAAUAGGUUUAUUGAACAUUUGAAUCUUUUAAACAGGGAAGUAAAAACAAUUUUACCAUCUAUUGAAUCACCUCUUAGUCUUGAAUUAAAACUGUUACGUUCACAUUUGAAGUAUGCUUAUCUUGGUCAAAAUAACACAGUCCCUAUAAUCAUCUCUUCUACUUUGGAUGCAGGUCAAGAACAGAGUCUAGUAGAUUUACUUGGAAAAUACAGAAGAGCAAUUGGAUGGACCAUGGCAAACAUAAAAGGGAUAAGCCCAUCAAUAUGCAUGCAUAAAAUCUUGUUAGAAGAUUGCUCCAACAAUUCGGUGGAGCACCAGAGAAGGUUGAACCCCAUCAUGAAAGAAGUAGUGAAGAAGGAAAUCAUCAAAUGGUUGGAUGCUAGAAUCAUAUACCCAAUAUCAGACAGUUCAUGGGUGAGCCCAGUUCAAUGUGUUCCAAAUAAGGGAGGGAUAACAAUAAUAACUAAUGAGAAAAAUGAACUUAUCCUUACAAGGACAGUGACUGGAUGGAGAGUAUGUAUGGAUUACAGGAAGCUCAACAAAGCCACAAGAAAAUACCACUUCCCACUGCCAUUCAUAGACCAGAUGUUGGACAGACUUGCUGGAAAUAAUAUUAUUGUUUCUUAGAUGGGUAUUCAGGCUACAACCAGAUUGCUAUAGCUCCUCAGGAUCAGGAGAAAACUACAUUUACUUGUUCUUAUGGAACAUUUGCCUUCAGAAGAAUGCCCUUUGGGUUAUGCAAUGCUCCAGCAACUUUUCAGAGAUGCAUGAUGUCUAUAUUUUCUGAUAUGGUAGAGUAGACUUUAGAAGUUUUCAUGGAUGACUUCUCAGUCUUUGGAGAAACAUACAAUGAUGGUUUACACAACCUGAAAGAAGUUCUUGAAAGAUGUGAGAUGACCAACUUAGUACUCAAUUGGGAAAAAUGUCAUUUUAUGGUGCAAGAAGGAAUAGUGUUGGGUCACAAGGUAUUCAAGAAUGACAUUGAGGUAGACAAAGCCAAGAUAGAGGUAAUAGAUAAAUUGCCACCUCCAACUUCAGUAAAGGGUAUCAGGAGUUUUUUGGGACAUGCUGGAUUUUACAGAAUAUUCAUUAAGGAUUUUUCCAAGGUGGCUAAACCAUUAUGCUCAUUGCUGGAACAUAAUAAGCCCUUUUACUUUGACAAAGAGUGUCAUCAAGCAUUUGGAGAAUUAAAGAAAGCUCUUAUCACUGCUCCAGUAAUCAUAUCUCCAGACUGGACUUUACCAUUUGAAUUGAUGUGUGAUGCUAGUGACCAUUCUGUGGGAGCAGUAUUAGGGCAAAGAAGGGACAAGGUUUUUCACUCCAUAUACUAUGCAAGCAAAACUCUUACUCAAACUCAAAUCAAUUACACCACUACAGAUAAAGAAUUGCUAGCUGUAGUAUUUGCUUUUGAUAAAUUCAGAGCCUACUUGGUGAGCACUAGAGUGACUGUAUAUACAGACCAUGCAACCAUCAAAUACUUAAUUUCAAAGAAAGAUGUCAAGCCAAGAUUAAUCAGAUGGAUCUUAUUGCUACAAGAAUUUGAUUUGGAAAUUAAAAAUAGAAAGGGGAUUGAGAAUUAAAUAGCAGACCACAUGUCAAUGUUGGAAGCAUACACAAGCACAUUGACAAGGAAAUACAUUACUGAAACUUUUCCUGAUGAACAACUGUUGGUGGUACAGCAAGCACAGAUGUUGCAGCAGUCAGAAUCUCCAUGGUAUGCAGACUUUGCUAACUAUUUAGUAAAUUGGUUGCUACCACCUAAGCUGAAGUUUCAAGAGAAAAAGAAAUUUCUUCAUGAUGUUAGAAGUUACCAAUGGGAUGACCCACAUUUAUAUAAGCUGUGCACAGAUCAAGUAAUACGAAGAUGUGCUGCAGAAGGAGAGAUUCCCCACAUACUGGAGUCAGGUCAUGCUGCAGCAUAUGGAGGACAUUUUGGUGGUCACAGAACAGCUGUUAAAGUACUGCAAUCAGGUUAUUACUGGCCAACUAUUUUUAAAGAUGCUUAUGAAUUUGUUAAAUGUUGUGACAGGUGUCAAAGGACAGGGAACAUAACUAGAAGACAUGAAAUGCCGUUGACCAACAUCCUGGAAGUGGAAAUUUUUGAUGUCUGGGGAAUAGAUUUCCUAGGACCUUUUCCCCCAUCCUUUGGGAACUUAUAUAUCCUUAUUGCUGUGGAUUAUGUCUCCAAGUGGGUAGAAGCUGCAGCUUUUUCUUCAGAAAAAUAUUUUUUCCAGAUUUGGCACUCCUAGAGCAAUUAUUAGUGACGAGGGUACACAUUUUUGCAACAAAAUCUUUGCUGCAGCAAUGGUAAAAUAUGGAGUCAGACACAAGGUAGUUACAGCAUAUCACCCACAAUUCAAUGGUCAGGCUGAAGUUUCCAACAGAGAAAUUAAAAAGAUCUUAGAAAAAGUGGUGAACCCAACAAGGAAGGAUUGGUCUUUACACUUACAUGACUCUCUAUGAGCCUACAGAACAGCAUACAAAACUCCACUCGACAUGUCCCCUUACCGAAUUGUUUAUGGCAAGGCUUGUCAUUUGCCACUAGAGCUAGAGCAUAAAGCACACUGGGCACUAAAGAAAUUAAAUUGGGAUAUUCAUGCUGUAGCAGAGCAAAGGAAGCUUCAACUUUGUGAGCUUGAUGAAUUACGGCUAUUUUCAUAUGAAAAUGCAAGAAUCUAUAAAGAGAGGACAAAACAAUGGCACGACAAGCAUAUUUAGCACAAGAAAUUCAACCCUGGUCAAUUAGUGUUGCUCCACAAUACAAGACUAAGGUUAUUUCCGGGAAAGCUCAAGUCACGAUGGUCUGGCCCAUUUAAGCUGCUCAAAUUUUAUCCUCAUGGAGCUGUUGAUCUUCUAGAUGAACAGACAGGUCAAGAAUUCAAGGUUAAUGGACACAGGGUUAAGCACUACAUACAUCUAGCGGCAGAUUGUUCAAAUGAGGUGUUACUCCUUAAAGAACCCAGCUAUUGAACAAUGAAAGAAGGUCAGGCUGAAAGACCUUAAAUCAAGCGCUCCAUGUGAGGCAACCCAUUGGGGAGACAGCCACUUCAAACCAACUUUGACAUCCUUUGGUUUUGUAGACAGCUCUCCCUCUUUACCAUCUUAUUUAAUUUUGUUUUUCUAUGUUAGCCAUUUACUUUUAUCCUUUUACAUUAUUGCAUUCUUUAUUUUCGCUUUAAUUUGAUCUAUUUAUUUCUUUUAAUAAUUUUAGAAUUAAUUUUAGUUUGUGAGAAGUAUGUGUGACAAUUGAAUUCCAUAUUGACAAGUGAGAGUGGAUGGUGGUAGAAUGCAGAGGUGAGCCACGUGUCAGAAGCUUUAGUGUGGAGUAUGUAUCCGUUGUUAGAGUAAGCAAAUGGGUGCUGCAGCAACUAAUUUUACUGUUACAGUAAAUUAAAAGCUGGAGCUUUUCACUUACCGUGGAGAUAAAAUCGUGACAAAUGGACGCAUGGAUAUGGAUAGAAAUUGCGGAACCAAAUCUCCGAAAUUAAAGCUUUAAUUUCACUGGCCGAUGAUUUUGGGAUAUGCACAUUUAAUUCAAAAUAUUUUAUUCCCUCAAUUAUCUCUAGUUACCGUAUUUAUCUUUAAUUAAAGUCCACUAUAAAAAGGAGUCACUGUGCUUAGUGCUCUACGACAAUAUUACCCAUCUCCUUCGCAAAUACAACUCUCCUAAUUCUUACCCUCUUCUUCUCAUUUUACUCUCAGGAACAUUAACUUCAAUUUGCUACUGCUACAGCAAUGCCGAGGUAUAAGAAAACAGCCAGCUGCCUCAAAGAUCUGUCACGCUUCCAGAGUUACCACGCCGAAGAAAAAUAUGAAGAAUUCAUAGAGCCGCGUAAGAUUCUGGAAGAAAAAAGGUUACAAUUUCCAGACCAACUCACUGGAAUUGUGCAAACAAUUCAUAAUGCUGCAGCAAAGCGAGGAUGGUUAGAGUUUUGCAACCACCCUCGAGAUCAUGUACUACCCGUAGUCAAAGAAUUUUACGCAAUUUGGUAAGUCUUGAUCAGCACAACAUUUGGGUAAGAAAUACACUUGUUCCAUUAGACUCCCGCGUUAUAAAUGCUUUUUAUAAUUUACCUGCUAAAAUUAAUUGUGAGUAUGCCAAGUUGCGUGAUAAAUUAAGCCCGAAAAAGUGGACCACCAUUUUCACAAACGCUUACAAUCGAAGGGGCAUCAUGGGCUAACGAGGAAGGGCGUGUAGUUAAUAGGAUAGAUUUGAAGCCUAUUGCUAAGGUGUGGGUGAAAUUUCUGAAAUAUAGGCUUCUGCCCACCACUCACACUACUACAGUUUCGCAAGAGAGGUUGGUCUUGUUAUAUGUCAUUGUUCGAGGGCUUCCUAUAGAUGUGGGUAGCAUCAUUGCAAAAGAAAUCCGGGAUUGUACAGUCAAGACUCACCGAACGGCUACCUUGCUAUUUCCUUCACUCAUCACUAGCAUUUGUGUAGUUUCUGGUGUUCGUCUUGACGCUAGAGAUGACCAUGUCAAGAGUGAUGGUGCCUUUACGGCACGUACCAUUGAGAGAGUUGCUGGUGAAGUGCUGGAACAACCAUUGAACCAGCUGUUGUAACAGAGCAAGACGAGCUAUUGGCUUAGAACAGACCAUCCAGGCACUCAGCACCAGUAUCACUCAGUGUGCAGAAGCUCAGCAGAGAGAAAAUGAUCGGUUUUGGAGUUAUCUACAGCACCUGGACAACCAACUACACCAAUUUACUCUGUACAUGAAACGCAUUCACCGGAACUUCCCUGAUUCACUGCUCCAGCAGUACAAUUUUGACACCAACACCACAGAUGCUCCAGCAGAAGCCAGUGAAGAAGCCACUGCCACAGAUGAACCAGCAGAUGAAGCUGCAGCUGAACCACAAGCAAAGGUAGACUCAAAAGAUGCUGAUCCAUCUGACCCACCUGAGGAUGAAGGUGACAAGUCUAAGACUGAUAGCUCACCCACGGAGGCAGAGGACAAUUCAGAGAAAGAACGUGAGGAACCAACCAUCCCAACCCAGUCCAAAACCAGGAAACAACACAUCAUUCAAAAAGAGGAGGAGGAAGACCUUGAAGAGGAACUGUCUAUUCUAGUCUUUAUAGGCAAGGGAAAGGACAAGGGUAAAGCAAAAAUGGCCACACCUCCAGCCUCUGAAGAUGAAAUGGAGCAAGUUGAUGCCGAGCUGGCUGCUGCAGCAGCCAGAGUUACGCCUACAACUGAACAAGCCAAGCAACUACUGGCGAUCAUUGCUGCCAUCACAGCUGAGGGCCAGGCAGCUGAUGCAUCAACUCCAAUUCCUCCACAGCAGACUCCUACCCAGCCUGUUCGCACCAGUCCAUGACAAUCCAGCAAAAGAAAAGGCAGUACGUCCAAAGGCACUACUACAACAACCCCAGCCACAACUCCUCUAACCAGCCCCGUGACGAAAAAGACAAAGACAUUGCCAGUUACUUCCCCACAAGCUUCCCCAAAGGAUAAGCUGCGCAGUGCAGCCAAGAAGUGCUGAUUGCAGUCCCCACCACAGGGGAGUUUUCUUUCUUUACUAGUUCAUUUCGUAAAAAAAAAUAUAUAUAUAUCUACCUUCUGUUUGUCAAUUUGUGUGGUAUUUUCUAAGGUCUUCCAUAUCCUUGUCAGUUUGUGUACCUUUGUUAUGUAUGCUUGUGAGGACACAUCAACUCUCAAGUUUGGGGGGGUUGUGUUUCUGAAUGCAUAUGUUUAUGUUUGUAUGCAUGUGUUUAUGUUUGUAUGGUGUGAAGUCUGUUAUCUAAUAUUUGUGUAUGGAUUUGAAAAUGUAAUGAAGAUAAAUUGAGUGCUAUUCAGUAUUUAUAUGCCCAGUAGAGAUAGUUAUAGAUGAAAGUGAAAUUAUAUCCUGACACUUAGACUUUUGUUGAAUUGUAUGAGACUACUAGAGCAAAGCCAAAAGAAUAGAAAAGAUCCUAAAUUUUGGGGGAAGAAGCAAGUUUGAUUAACUGUAAUAUCUAUGAAACAUAAUAUGUUCCAAUGGCUCAAGUUGCUGAGUAACCAGAUUUGAGUAUGUACCCCAUAUGCAGAAUUGUGUUCAAAGGUAGCGAGAGUUAUGAGCAAUGCUGAAGCAUGUUGUUAUAAAAAAAAAACAAAAAAAACAAAAAGAAAAAGAAAUCCUCUGUCUAAGGCAUUGAGUAGCCAGGUCUGUUCAUGAGCCCCAUGUUCAGCCUUGAGUAAAAGAUACCUCUAGAUAAGAUUACAUUACAGAAUCUUGCUACAACAACUCUAAUUUGGGCAUGGUUUGAGUAAUUGGGUGUCAUCAUUACAAUUGAUUGACAUUCACAUGAAAGAUAAAUGUUACAGUGAGGAGGUUGAAUAUUCCCUAGUUUAUCAAUCUUAAAAUCAUCACAGUCUGAGUAUGUAAAAGUUAUGUUACCCCAUUUAUGAAUGAAGUGUUCUUACUACUGAAAUUCAUGCAAUCCCUUGGUGAUGUUACAGCAUCUCUGGAAUUCAAUCGAAGGAACACACACACACUAUGGACAGAAAGAAGCUUAAGUCUAGAGCUAAUUUACUAUGGUCAUUUUGCAUGAUUGGGAUUGUGAUCUGAAGGUGGAAGAAUCCUUGCAAAUUUGAUAAAAGAGCUAAAGUUGUGUGCAUGAUUGUUUGCGGGAAGUGUUAGUAUAUGUCAUUACUUGAGGGCAAGUAAUGGUUUAAGUUUGGGGGUGUGAUAACUCUAGGAAAUGAGAGUUAUUACAUCAAUUCUAGACUUGAAUCAAGACUACUUGAGAACAAAUAAGGUGUUUUUAUUAUAUUUUGGUUACCUUUUGCAUAAACAUUCAUUUUAGUUGAGUCUUAAUAAGUUUUGCUUGAAUCAAAGUAAUUUGUGCUCAAAACAAGUGCAUAAUUGUAGGUUUUAAAGUCAUGAGGGGAUGUUGAGGCAUUAGAAGAGCGAGAGGAGGAAAGAAGAUGGCCACAAAAGCAGUAAAGCACAAUCGGAAAUAAGGCAGUGUUGUAGCUGAUGUUAGAGCAACCAGUGCUGUAGCAAUCUGGGAGCAAUGCGAGAGAAAACUUAGGCACGAGUCAGCCAUAAAAACGCGAUCUGCAUGUUUCCUAAUUUAAAUGCAUGCACGCUCAUGGGCUUUGGUUUACCCUAAUUUGCAAUAUAAAAAGGAGGCGUGCACCAUAUAGAAGGCGGGAAAUGGAUCAUCAUCAGAAUAAUUACAAAGGAAAGAAGAAGAAGAUCAGAUCGAGAGAGUGUUGUUUCAGCAACAUUGAAGACUCAUGCAGAAUUAUUUGUCUUUCAUCGUGCUCAACUUAUAUUUCUCUUCUUCCUUUAAUUGUUUUGAUGUAUUCAUUGAUCAAUAUAUUUAUGUUUACUUUUCUCAUUCAGAGUAUGAACUAAAUUUACUUGUAGUUGAGUGACAAAGAAUCCAAUGGGUUCUUGACUGUUCUUAUAUGUUGUUAUGGCAUUGUUGUAGCAUUAUACUAUAGUAGUUUUUAUGAAUAUAACUGUUAUUUCGGUUGACCACCCAUUUAAUAGUUUCAGUUAAGAUAGAGCAGCAAAAGAGCAUGUCUUAGCGGAUGUUAUUAGAGUAUUACUUGAUCUUAAGUCGAGUUUCCUGGAUUAAGUUAUCUUAAAUCCCAUAAGGGCAAUACUUGAAGUUAAGAUUUGUGACACACUAGACAUAGAUGUUCACCUUGUAGGGUGGAAAGACUAAAGACCAUAAUGUCAUACUAUAAGUAGAUUAGCAAUUGGUCAUUGUUAAUAGAUUUAAGGGUAUGAGACUUCCAAUAUGCGGCAACUGAGGAUGCAGAUAAACUCUGUCUAGUGCUGCAGCACUGGUCGUAACAACUGGUACUAAUUUGAUGAAAAAAUAGUCAACCCCAAAGGAAAAUUUGAUCAUUCAACUACAUUAAUUUCAAUUGAAUCUUGGACACACUUAACCUAGUUAUUUCAUUACGAUAUUGUUUUAUUUAAUUCUUAUCUCAAUCAUUGAUUACAAUAGACAUUACUUGACAAUUGUUUGCUUCGGGUUUAAGUUGAGUUGCGCUAUUGUGAGUGCUGUAGCAUUUCGAGUAACAUUAAUCCAUGUGGAGACGAUCUUGAAUACUUAUCACUUUAUUACUUGUUGUGUAUACUUGCACAUUGGCAUUGAUAGUAAUUGCUUAUAAAAUUUACCAACACAUAUCUAAACCACUUUGUAACCUCUUAUUAAAAGAUGCACCAUUUGAAUGAACUGAUGAUUGCCAAAAAUCUUUUGAGAAAAUAAUUUGACUUUUAACAUCAGCACCCAUUAUGCAAUCUUCUGAUUGGUCUCUUCCUUUUGAAUUAAUGUGUGAUGCAAGUAAUUUUGUUGUUGGUGUUGUUUUUGGACAAAGAAUGGAUGGUAAGUCGUUUGUGAUUUAUUAUGUGAGUAAGACCUUGGAUGGUACCCGAAUGAAUUAUUUGACAACUAAAAAAGAAUUACUUGCAGUGGUGUUUGUAUUAAACAAAUUUCGUUCAUAUUUGCUUGGUUCUAAAACUAUUGUUUUUACUAACCAUGCUGCUAUGAGAUAUUUGAUGACUAAACAGGAUGUCACAACCAAGACUAAUUCGAUGGAUUUUGUUACUACAAGAAUUUGACCUUACCAUCAAAGAUAAAAAAGGUGCCGAAAAUGUCGUUGCUAAUCAUUUAUCAAAACUCACAUUCGAAUUCUGCACUGACGUAACACCCAUCAAUGACUCCUUCCUAGAAGAAUUUUUAUUUUCUGUUACUUUAAUGCUAUGAUAUGCUAACAUUAUUAAUUUCUUUGUUACAGGUAAAAUGCCUUUGCAAUAGAAUACUCAAGAGAAGAAGAAAUUUUUAGUUGAAGUAAAGAAAUUUUAUUAGGAUGAUAUUUCACACAGGUGGUAUUUCACACAUGUGGUAUUUUAUGUAUUUUAUUUAGUCUUUAAUAUGGCAUACCUAGCAAAUGUUAUAUAAUUGUGUUUGAGAAUUUUAUUUUUAAAUGAUUUUAUCUUUUUAUUGAAAAUUUUUUAUUUUAUUUUUAGUGAAUUAUACAGUAAAUUAUUGACAAUUUAACAAAAAAUAUUUCAAAUAAUUGUUCAAAAAAUAAUAAAAUAAAUUAUUAUUUAAAUAAUAAAAAUGAAAUCGAUUAUUGCGUCAAAUGAUAUGGGUUCUCACGGCUAAACUAAUCAAAGUUAAAAAACGUGUCACUCCCAAACGAAUACCUUCGCAUGGAGGUCGCCCGGUGGGGCAACGCGCAAAUUGGAUUAGUGACUGAGAUUCUCGUUGCUCCUUUCCAAAUUAAAAUUUUCAAACGGAUGCUAAAUUGUUGAAUAAGACACCAAAUUCUAUUUCCACCUGUCGUUGUAAUGAUAUUAUAUCUUUGCUGCAUGUGUCACACUCUCACAUCCGUACAAGAAAUAUAAUAAAUAAAUAAUAUGAGAUAACGGAUGGUAAUAAUAUAGCAUGCCACCUCAGGUAUGUACCUCAGAAAUAUAAUUUAAAAAUAAAAAUAUAUAGAAACCCCUUUAAUUUAGGUUAAUUUAAAAUGUAUAAGGAAUAUUUCAAAUUUGAUAAAAGGUUUAAAAUGUAUAAGAAAUAUUAACGUUUAUGUGCAUAUAAAAUUUUUAAAAUUAACAUGAAGUUUCCCUUAGUUAGUAAUUAAUUUUAAACACUUAAAAAUUAACAUGAAAUUUCACUUAAGUAGUAAUUAAAAUUUUAAACGCUUUAUUUGAGAAUAAAAUCAUAAAUUAAAAUUAAUGAAUUGCACUUGAUAGUCUCAACUUACCCGAGCGGUUCGGCAUUCAUUUGAAAUUGUUAAUAUACUAUGGACUUCCUUGUUAUCUCCUAGUUAUGGAAGUGACUAAUGUAGCAUUUAUUUUUUUGUUUGAAAUUUAAAUAAACUUGAAUUAGUCACUAUUUUAAAUAGUGUUGAAUCUAAAUCAUAUUUUUUUUGUUUGAAUUACCAAAAAUAAGUAAUAAUUUAUUCUUUCUUUUAACUUAAAAAUAUGAAAAUCAGUAUUUCUACAUUUGUGCUCAUAGAAAUUAAAAAUGUUAAAUAAAGAAUAAAUAUUUCAAAGAAAAUAAAUAAAAUAAUAUGUUAUCAUAACAUAUGGUUAUUGCGAUCUUAAUAAAAGAUUUACUUUUUCUAUCCGUCGGUGUAGGCCAAUGACCGAACCAUAUUAAUUCUCCGUGUUUUUCUUAUUAUAUAACCUUAGCUAAACUAGUUCUCUAGUUGACCGCAUUUCUACAUCUAACAAUUCUUGUGAUGUAUAGGCAGCUGAAACAAUUUUUUGCGUUUUAAAACCUUUCUGACUGUAUAUCAUCAUUUUUUUUUUACGCACACCAGGAUUUGUGACGGCUAUACGGCCAAUCUCCGAUGCAAUAAAUAAAUAAAUAAUAAACGACGUCUAUUUCCACCGCAUAUGACUAUUACGCCAACAUUAUGGAAGUUCCUCACAAAUUUACGAAAAUGACCCUUUAUCUAAUAUUUUGAUAUUUUGUAAUUCUAUCCUCAUCAACAUUUUUAUAUUAAUUAAAAUUUUUAACGAACAUCAGUUGUAAGGUCCACAUCACAAUGACACAUCGUUAGAUACGUGACUACACGCACUAUGACACAUCAAGAUCACAAUGUUUUUAAUUAAGUUCAGUCUUAUUACAAAUGCACAACUGUCUGUCUACUAAUCUUUUUAUGUUUGGGAGUUAGAGUAAGUGUAGGAUUAGAUUAAUUUUCUAGACAAAAUAUUUAUUCCAUGUUUGACGGGCUCGCUUAAAUUUGAUUAAGAGGAUUAAAUUCAAAUUUAUUUUUACAAUUAUAGGAUUAGUUAUCAUAAUUUUCACAUGGGUUUAAGGAGAAUUAGAGUAAGCAAUGCUUGUCCCUUUAUGACAAUCUGUUUGUUUAUUAAUGAGUUGUUAUCUAUUUAAUUAAUUAUUUAUUUUUAUUCAUGAUUUCUUAAAAAUUAAGUAUUUAUUUUUUAUUCUACCCAUGUCAUCUUUUAUCAUUUAUUUAUUUAAUGUUAAAAGUAAUGCAUUAACAAAAUUACUUUUUAGAAACAUGCCAUUUAUCAUUUGAUUAUUAUACAAAUAUUUUUAAAAUAUUUGAUAAAUAAUUAAUUUUAUAUUUAACUAUUUUAGUUAUAUUUUUUUAAUAGGCAAUAAUAUGCAUCAUAUAUAAAAGCAUAUAAUUUUCAUAAUUUUAGUUGUUCUUGUUAAAAACCAUUUAAUUUCACUUAAAUUUAAUUUAACAUAGUGUAAUUAAAUAUUAUACUAAAUAUAAGAUUGUACUACAUAGAAAAAAACAAUGUAAUCCAAUUCAAUUUAAUCUAAUUGAAUUUUAAGUCUAUUUAAUCAUGCUUACUAAACGUAGCCUAACCUAUAACUAAAUCAUACAGUAUAUGAUUGAUUGAUAAUGAAAGAGUAAUCGCUGGCAGACUUAUGUUGUGGCUUGAGUCCAUUUCUUUGGAAAUAUUACAUCCAAUUUGGCCCUGCCAAUCGACCAGAUAGUUCAAAUUGACAAAAUGUCAAAAUCAAUUCAAUUGCGUGCACGCAGGUGUUGGCUUUCACUUUGAAUUUUUUCAAUUUCUAAUUUUUGGCAAAAGGCUAAACUAAUAAAAAUCAUAAAGCUGGUCAAUCCCACAACCAAACACGAGGUCCAUUCGAGUUUGAUUUACCACUCCUCUACGGAGUUAUUACACGACACUCUUAUUAAGCGUCACUUUGUGGGAUUAGAGGAAAAGGUUAAAGUUUGCUUACAUAAUCAUAAAGACCCCCUUAAUUUUUUAAAUUGUUACAAUCCUUAAUUUUAUAAAUAGUUAGACAAGUCUUUUUUUAACCAUUAUACCCUUGAUUACAACUAUUCAAUAUUCACUUUAAAUAAACUUUUAUUACAACAAUUCAAUAUUCAUUUUAAAUAAACUUUUACAAUAAAUAUAAAUUAAAAUGAAAAAAAAAUGUAAUGUAUAAAUUAAGAUAAAAUGUGUAAAUUAUUUGGAAUAUUAGAAAAGUUAUUUUAACAUCAUUAAUCUGUCAUAUUCUUUUAAUAAUAAAAAAAUCUAUUUGACAUAUUAAUAAUGAUAAAAUAACUAUACCUAAUAUUCAUAGUAAUUUAUAAAUUUUAUAUUAUUCUAUUUACUAUGUCUUUUUUUAAUUAUGUCUAUCAGUAUAAUAAAUUAAAGUCAAUUUUUGGAUUAAUACAUUUUAGUAUUAAUAAAUUCCAUCAGGAUAGACUAAUAACAACUUAAUAUUUAAGAUAAUUCAUUAUAUAGGCAAUUUUAUUAAAUAAACUUAUUGUAAUUUUUUAUUUAUAUCAUAUUAUAUAUUUUUAUUAUUUUUAUCUUAUUAUUGUAUUUAUAUUAAUUCAGAUUGUUAUAAUUAAAGGGUAUAAUAAUCAUUUAUGAAAUUAAGGUGUCUAUCUGACCAUUUAUGAAACGAAAGAGGGUUUAUGUGACCACUUAACAAAACCUUACGGUUGUGGGUGGCCUUUUCCCAUUCGAUUAUGCAGGAAACUAAGAUUCUGGUUACUUCUUUCCAAAUUAUGAAUUUCAAAUUCAAAUGCAUGUUGAAUUGCUGAAUAAGAUAUAAGUAUGGCAAAAUUUCCCGAUAGUAAUACUCUAUAUAGAAUUAAUUUUUAGUUAAUAAUAAAAAAUUUUGAUUUCAGUUUAGACCAGUUAUACAUAAGAAUAAACUUCAUAUUGUAAUAAAUUAUAGCUUUUUAAUCCAAUUUUAAGAGUUUUUAGAUCCCAUUUUAAGAAACUUGCCUCCACAUAGUAAUAAUUAUUAGUGUAGCGUAAAAAUAUAUGUUAUGUUAUAUUAAAGGAACUUACUUCCAGAUAGUACAAUUACACAAUGAGAGAUAAUUAAUGAAGAGAAUGCAAAAAAUUAGAGAUUUUUAAGAUGACUUUAAUAUUCCUAAUAAUAGUGCAUUGAUACAUUGUACUUAUUUUUUGAUAUAUUAAGAUUUGAUAUGCUCCAUUAAUAAAUUAUUAAUGUAUUACAUACUUUACCUCUAUAUUCUUACACUAAGGAUAAAUAAGUUAAAACAAUAAUUUUCGUAACUACUCAUCUAUUAAGUAAUAAUUUCUUCAUUGCAAUUAACUAAUUUGGUCCUAAUAUUAUAAGUAUAGAGAGAUAUUGCUAUAUUGAGAUUGAUUGAUAGAGCACACCAGCCUUGAAUUUCGUUAAUGUCCCUAUAUGGUACCAUUUCACACACAUCAAUAAUUUUACAUUGUAAAAAUACGGAGCCAUUAAUCAUGUAAAGAUUGUCAAUUCCCCCCCCCCCCCCCCUCCCGCCCGCCAGACCAUUAUUGGCCAUCUAUUUUGUUAUUUUAUUAUUGUUUUUAUAAUAACCUCUAAGCCAAUUUUUUAAAGGAAAUUGGUGGGCUCAAAAUUCAAAUAGCCCCACCAUUAUUAAAUUAACUUAAAAUCGUUUCCGUAGAAAGUAGGGUAUUAUUGAAAUUGAUUAUGCGAAAGAUAUUUUACGUGGCCCGCGAUCAAAUAGAUGUAAAUAAAGUUAACGUUAUUGCAAGAGUGAAUUGGCAUUGUUCAUAAAAAUUACAAUUCAUUAUAAGAGGAUUGCCAAUUGCUCUCCUACAGUAAUCAACAUAUACCAUUUUCUCCUCUAUUAUUUUUAUAAUGGCCAAAACCCCCCUGAUAGAAUAAAUUUACGAUAUUACCCUUAUUUUCAACUACUUUUUAUUUAUAUUUAUUAUAAAUUAAAUAAAUGACAUGAAUAGAAACUAAAUAAAAAAUUAAGCAUUAAAGAUAAGAAAUAUAUGUUUUGAUAUGAGAAAAAAAUUAAUAAUAAAUUUUUUUUCUUGUACUUAUUUAUUUUGUGAAAUUUUUCUUAUAAUAAAUAUAUAAGAAAGUUAUUAUAAAAUGAUAAAAAAUUUAUUAUAAGAAAAUUUGAAUGACAAAUAAAAAUUUAUUAUAAGAUAAAUAAUAAAAUAUUUUGCCUAUACUUUUUACAUUUAAUUUUAAAAUAUUACAAAAUAUUUAUUAUAAGAAAAUAUUCACAAAAUAAAUAAUUACAAGAAAAAAAAAUUUACUAUUAAUUUUUGUGCUCAUAUCAAAACAUAUAUUUCUUAUUUUUAAUACUUAAUUUUUUUAUUUAGUUUCUAUUCAUGUAAUUUAUUUAAUUUAUAAUAAAUGUAAAUAAAAGAAUAAUUAAAAAUAAGGGUAAUAUUGUAAACUUAUGCUAUCAUGGGGGUUUUUUACCAUUAUAAAAACAGCAAGGGGUAAAUAAUAUAUGUUAAUUACUAUAGGGGGGAAAGUGGCAAUCCCCGUCAUUAUAAAUAGUAAUGCCAUUGAUAACAUUCUUUCACAUUUUCUUUAUUACUGCAUAUAGCAAUGAAACCGAACAUGAGCGGUGUCCUUGUUUUUGCCUUAUUUCUCUUUGAAAUACUUGCCAUAGCAACCAUUAGCAUUAGCUUCUGCAACGGAAGUUCUUAUCACGGGGGUUGCCUUGAAAGUGAGAGAGGAGCACUUUUAAGGCUCAAGCGAGAUCUUAAAGACCCUUCUAACAGGCUUGCUUCUUGGACUGGCAGCGGAGAUUGUUGUGCAUGGACUGGUGUUGUCUGUGACAACAUGACUGGCCAUGUGCUUCACCUCGACCUUCGAAAUCCUUUCAAUUAUUCCAAGGAGUCUGAAUAUGACGCUAUUCGGGGGACAGCGCUUGUUGGUAAGAUAAAUCCUUCUUUGCUUGAUUUAAAGCAUUUGAGUUACCUGGACUUGAGCUUCAAUGAUUUCCAAGGUGAUCGAAUUCCUAGAUUUGUUGGCUCCAUGGGAAAUCUACGGUAUCUCAAUUUUUCUGGAACUCGAAUCGGCGGAAUGAUACCUCAACAACUUGGAAAUCUCUCCAAUCUGCAGUUUCUUGACCUUAGUUCAAAUUAUUUAUUAUACGUUGACAAUUUUUUGUGGCUUUCUGGUCUUUCUGUCCUGGAACACCUCGAUUUGCGUUCUGUGAAUCUUAGCAAAGCCUUUGAUUGGCUGAUGGUAGCAAACAAACUCCCUUCUUUGGUAGAAUUAAGAUUGUCAAAUUGCCAACUCCAACACUUCUCUCCAUUAGCCACCGCAAAUUUUUCGUCUCUCACAGUGCUUGACCUUUCCCACAACCAAUUUGAUAACUCGUUCAUUCCUAGUUGGGUCUUUGGUCUAAGUCAUUUGCUCUUUCUUGACCUAGGUUUUAAUAAUUUUCAAGGUCCAAUUCUUGGGGGACUUCAAAACCUGACUUCCCUUAAACAUCUGGGUUUAGAUUCCAACUACUUCAACUCUUCAAUUCCCAACUGGUUGUAUAGAUUCAUCCAUCUUGAGUACCUUAGUCUUCGCAACAAUAAAUUGCAAGGUACAAUUGACUCAGAGGCUCUUGGAAACUUGACUUCCAUCAGUCGGCUCGAUCUCUCAUUAAAUACUGGUCUUGCAGGGAGAAUUCCAAGAUCCAUGGCAAGACUUUGUAAUUUAAAGUCAAUCAAUCUUCGGGGUGUCCAUGUGAGCCAAGAAAUUUCUGAGAUUUUAGAUAUUUUCUCGGGAUGUGUUUCUAAUGGACUAGAGAGUUUAGAUAUGCGGAGUAGUUCAAUAUAUGGUCAUUUGACUGAUCAGCUUGGCCAAUUUAGAAAUCUCGUCACUCUUAAUCUUGCUAAUAAUUCAAUUGUUGGUCCUAUUCCAGAGUCAUUUGGUCAACUCUCAACCUUGAGAGAACUACAGAUAUAUGAUAAUAAGUUAAACGGAACAAUUUCUGAACUUCACUUUGCCAAUCUGACAGCACUGUCAUGGUUCAGAGUCGGUGGAAACCAAUUGACGUUGGAAGUGAAGCAUGAUUGGAUCCCUCCUUUCCAACUUGUUGCAUUAGGAUUGCAUAGUUGUUAUAUAGGGUCUCGAUUUCCUCUAUGGCUUAAUUCACAAAGGCAUUUACAGUUUCUAGAUUUAGUCAACUCAAGAAUUUCAGAUAUUUUUCCCAUUAGAUUUUUGAAAUCUGCUUCCCAAUUAAAGAUUUUAGAUCUCGAACAAAACCAAAUUCACGGGGAGAUGCCAAAUCUAACCGAGUUUACUCAACUUUUGUUUCUUUCCAUGGAUUCGAAUAAUAUGUCUGGUCCAUUACCCCUCAUAUCAUCCAAUCUCGUUUACCUUGGCCUUUCAUAUAACUCAUUCUCCGGGUCAAUUUCUCAUUUCUUGUGUGACAAAAUCAACGAGACAAAGAGAUUAGAAGCUCUUAAGCUGAAUGAUAAUUAUUUACAAGGAGAAUUACCUGAUUGUUGGAUGAGUUAUCAAAAUUUGAAGAUACUUAAACUAAGUAACAACAAAUUCACUGGUAAUCUUCCAAACUCAUUUGGUAGUUUAGCUUCUCUUGUUUGGUUGGAUCUUGGUAAAAACAGACUGUCUGGGACAAUACCUGUUUCUCUUAAAAAUUGUACAGCAUUAGAGUCACUUGAUGUUGGUGAAAACGAGUUUGUUGGCAAUAUUCCAGCAUGGUUUGGAGAAAGAUUUUCAAGAUUGGUUGUUCUCAACCUUCGUUCCAAUAAGUUUCAUGGCCCUUUACCCACUAGAUUUUGUGAUCUAGCUAUUCUUCAAAUCUUAGACAUCGCGGACAACAAUCUCUCCGGAGCCAUACCAAAUUGCAUUAAUAAUCUCACUGGCAUGGUGACAGCGAACUCUUUUUCACGCAGUGCUCAGCAACAUCUACCUGUUCCUCUGGACGUGGAUGUGAUUCUUACGGAGAAGGCAUCAGUUGUGAGCAGAGGGGAAGUGGUUGAAUAUGAUGAGAUUCUUAAUUUGGUAACGGUGACGGCUGUUUCCAGGAAUGAUUUACCGAAAAAUGUUCCUUUGGAAGUGAGAAAUCUUAAAGCAACGCAGUCAUUAAAUUUUUCGCACAACACUUUCACAGGAAGAAUUCCUGAAAGUAUUGGUGUUAUGAGAUCAUUGGAGUCUGUUGAUUUUUCUGUGAACCAACUUUCGGGUGAAAUUCCACAGAGCAUGUCAAAUUUGAUGUCCUUGAAUUAUUUGAACUUGUCCAACAACAAGUUGACUGGGAAAAUUCCUUCAAGCACUCAACUCCAGGGCUUCGAUGCAUCUAGUUUCGCUGGCAAUGAUCUCUGUGGAGCUCCUCUUCCAAAGAAUUGUACUGAGAAUGUUUCAAAUUCAGAAGAUGAAAAUGGAGAUGAAGACGAAGAUGAAUUGGACCAUUGGUUUUAUGUAAGCAUUGCACUUGGCUUUGUGGUGGGAAUUUGGUGUUUUAUAGGCCCUUUGAUUUUCAAUAGAAGAUGGAGGUACAAAUAUUGUCAUUUCCUAAAUCGCCUUGAGAGGAGAGUUGUUUGUGUUGUAAGAAAACGUGGCUAGAUUUUCUCUGUUUUUGAGUUGUUCUGCUUCUUCAUGUACUGUGCUCACUGAAAGGAAUAGAAUAU
rnacentral:lncRNA from 1 species